rnacentral:rRNA from 1 species
UACGUAGGGGGCAAGCGUUGUCCGGAUUCAUUGGGCGUAAAGAGCGUGUAGGCGGCCAGGUAGGUCGGCUGUGAAAACUGGAGGCUCAACCUUCAGAGGUCGACCGAAACCAUCUGGCUAGAGUCCGGGAGAGGAGAGUGGAAUUCCUGGUGUAGCGGUGAAAUGCGCAGAUAUCAGGAAGAACACACGUGACGAAGGCGGCUCUCUGGAACGGUACUGACGCUGAGACGCGAAAGCGUGGGGAGCGAACAGG